ensembl:misc_RNA Metazoa_SRP Metazoan signal recognition particle RNA
GCCAGGCAUGGUGGUGUGUGCCUGUAGUCCCAGCUACUCAGGAGGCUGAGGUGGAAGGAUCAUUUGAGCCUGGGAGGUCAAGGGUGCAGUGAGAUAGUGCCACUGUACUCCAGCCUAGGUGACAGAAUGAGACUCUGUCUCAA